UACGAAGGGGGCUAGCGUUGUUCGGAAUUACUGGGCGUAAAGCGCACGUAGGCGGCUUUGUAAGUUAGAGGUGAAAGCCCAGAGCUCAACUCUGGAACUGCCUUUGAGACUGAGUGGCUUGAGUACGGGAGAGGUGAGUGGAAUUCCCAGUGUAGAGGUGAAAUUCGUAGAUAUUGGGAAGAACACCGGUGGCGAAGGCGGCUCACUGGCCCGUAACUGACGCUCAUGCACGACAGCGUGGGGAUCAAACAGG
rnacentral:rRNA from 1 species